rnacentral:rRNA from 1 species
UACGUAGGGUGCGAGCGUUAAUCGGAAUUACUGGGCGUAAAGCGUGCGCAGGCGGUUCGUCGUGUCCGAUGUGAAAGCCCCGGGCUCAACCUGGGAAUGGCAUUGGAAACUGGCGGACUCGAGUGUGGCAGAGGGGGGUGGAAUUCCGCGUGUAGCAGUGAAAUGCGUAGAGAUGCGGAGAAACACCGAUGGCGAAGGCAGCCCCCUGGGCUAACACUGACGCUCAGGCACGAAAGCGUGGGGAGCAAACAGG